AUAUGUAUGAUGACUCCCUCAUAAUGCAUUCCUUAAAAAAGCUGAAGAAAAUGAGUGAGAACUCCAACCAUUGUUCUUGUUGGAUCUUAA